rnacentral:rRNA from 1 species
AGAGUUUGAUCCUGGCUCAGAUUGAACGCUGGCGGCAGGCCUAACACAUGCAAGUCGAGCGGUAGAGAGAAGCUUGCUUCUCUUGAGAGCGGCGGACGGGUGAGUAAUGCCUAGGAAUCUGCCUGGUAGUGGGGGAUAACGUUCGGAAACGGACGCUAAUACCGCAUACGUCCUACGGGAGAAAGCAGGGGACCUUCGGGCCUUGCGCUAUCAGAUGAGCCUAGGUCGGAUUAGCUAGUUGGUGAGGUAAUGGCUCACCAAGGCGACGAUCCGUAACUGGUCUGAGAGGAUGAUCAGUCACACUGGAACUGAGACACGGUCCAGACUCCUACGGGAGGCAGCAGUGGGGAAUAUUGGACAAUGGGCGAAAGCCUGAUCCAGCCAUGCCGCGUGUGUGAAGAAGGUCUUCGGAUUGUAAAGCACUUUAAGUUGGGAGGAAGGGCAGUUACCUAAUACGUGAUUGUUUUGACGUACCGACAGAC